rnacentral:lncRNA from 1 species
CGCCAGCAGCACCUGCUCCACCUGGUGUGCGCUCUUAGGUUCCUGGAUCACCUUCUUCCUGGCAGCCAGACGGCCCAGCAGGCCACCCUUCUCCCAGUGGGCAUGGACCUGGCGCAGGUACUCGUAGGAGGGGAAGAAACAGACCACCCCUCCAGAAACCACACCGCACAGGUUACAGAGGAUGCGACCCACCUCGUCCAUCUAAGGAAGGAAGGAAGGAAGGAAGGAAGGAAGGGAGGGAGGGAGUGACUGCGCCUUUCCGACACAUGUCACAGCACUAGCGUCCCUGGGGGGCCUCCCUAUUGCCCUGGCACUGAGUCGUCCCUUCUUCUGUCCAGGGUCCUGAUGGGCACCACAAUGACAAUCAGGGGCUGCACACCCCAGGCACACCACAGGAGAUGCCCCCAAGCCCCACAUCCCUGCCCCCGGCAGGGGCAGAUAUAACCAAAGGGCAAGAGAGCCAAAGGGAACUAGCAGCUUUCUGCUGAGUGAGGCGUCCUCAGAGGAUGCCUGGAGGUUUUAUGAAUACAUAUUUCGCAGCCUAAGGCGUGAGGGGCGGGGAAGCUCAGACCUUCCUCCAUAAGCAUCUAGAUCGACGCCGCUCAUUCUGUGUGGCUCUAAGUGGGUGUCCCUGUGCAAUUUCCCCAACACCUGAAAACACUCAGGGUGGGCCAGAGCGCCCCUGCCCCAGAAAACCCUUUGCUGCCGGAGGCCAGGCUGUGGUGCAGCGAGCUGGCUGGGACUGACCAUCUGAGGCAGGUCUCUCUUCUGGAACGUGAAUUCUAGCGGCUGGUUGGAGACCCCGCUGCAGAUGACAAGGGGCAGGAUGUUGUCUGGAGGGAUCACGUGACCUGGUAAGAGCCAGGGAGGGGCCGAAAACUGAAGAUGCAGGUGUGCUGUAAGACACUGCAGAGAGGGCAUUUACCUGCCCCAUCAUCCAGCACAGGAACAGCGACUGACAGCGCUCACCCACCCACCAUCGCCAGUCACACUGGGCAGCACGCAGCAGGCAGCAGGGAGCAAAGCAGGAGAGCCUGGGUGAGCGCACGAAGGGUGAGUCUCCCAUCCCGGGGUCUCCUCCGCCUCUGUGCCUGGUCGCAGUAUGAGUUAUUACCCACAGAAAACGGGGGCCAGAACCUGACCUCUAGCCUGCCCCACCCUGGGCACAGCUUCUCA